rnacentral:rRNA from 1 species
UACGUAGGGACCAAGCGUUGUUCGGAUUUACUGGGCGUAAAGGGCGCGUAGGCGGCGUGGUAAGUCACUUGUGAAAUCUCUGAGCUUAACUCAGAACGGCCAAGUGAUACUGCUGUGCUAGAGUGCAGAAGGGGCAAUCGGAAUUCUUGGUGUAGCGGUGAAAUGCGCAGAUAUCAGGAAGAACACCAAUGGCGAAGGCAGCUCGCUGGGACGGUACUGACGCUGAGGAGCGAAAGCGUGGGGAGCGAACAGG